UUGUUACAAAGGCCAUUGGAAAUAAGCUUAAGACCCCUGAGCUGGAAACCCCCUGCUCUAUACAAAAGAUGUUCACCUUUCGGGUGAAUCUGACACUGGUGUGAUUGUGGUAUGGGGAGAGACAGAGAGGGGAGAGUGAAUUGGCAGACACAGCGGACAUCUAGCUGGUGACCUUCUACAUCAAAGUCGGUGCUGACUCUGCAGCUCAUUACAGACCACCAGGGAGUCCCUUGGCCUCCAAGAAGAGAAAAGGAGGAGGAGAAGUCCGUGACCCAGACAUGAAGGAAGAUGCUGGGAUGGAGAAGCUAACUCUGCCCUGGUCCCACUGGGCAUACUGUCUGCUGCCUGACAGCUUCAAACAGCUAACCCUGCAUUUCUACCAUACUCUGUAUUCAUGCGCUGGUUUUGAGAGACUCAGUGAUCACAACCGCACUGUGGAGAGAGGCCAUCACUGGCUCUCCAGACAAAGACUGUGCAUCCACUGCACACAGCAGGAGGUGGAAACCGAGCUGCAGUUUGUAACCAACUGCCAACUGUAUCAAGACAUAUUCUACCCACCCAAAAAGACUUUGAAAACAUGCUAAUAACAAAAAACUUCCAUAUCUGCUGGGUGAAAUACAGCAAUGUGCAAACACAGAAGCAAGAUUUGUGAGCUGUUGUGACUGGAAAAGGGCAUCCAAUGGAAUACAACCACCAUGAAGACUGUGUAUCCCUGCACUGACCACUUGCACUGUGCUGAUCCCUGUACAUAGACAUACUCAUUGUACAUACAUAUAGAACAAAUAUCUUUAAAUACAUUCAAUUACAGUUUUUCUCAGUUGCUCUUGCCCAAUUCUCAAAUGAUAAUGAAUAUUUUCAAAACAACAUGACAACAAAACAACACAAUUUGCACAAUUACCAAAUGCAGAUGUCUUGCUGAUCAAAACUAAUUAUGUUGCUUCUCAGUUGAAUAGUUCUGUUCUCCAAAACAUGUAGGAAUUCUUCCAAUGUGUAAGUCAUCACAUGCACAAUAGUCCAUUCCACUGUCAGUGUCUCUCAGGGAUAUAUUCCAUAACAAGCAUUAAUAUGCAAGUUUUGUAACAUCUGCUAAAUUAAAUUGCCUGUCAGGUGAAACUUGAACAUCACUAACGAAGGGGAGUUUCUCAAAUCUUACAUCAACCAAGUUAGAUGACAGGUGCUAUUCAUGAGUAUGGAUAUUGUCAAACACAUUUAUAGAGCUUGACUGCAACAGAAUCACUGUAGUUUCUGAACAUGGAGGAAUCUGGCCAUGUAAAUAAUGAACAGAGGCAACAGUCUGUUCAUGGAAGAGGAGGUGAAAGAGGAAGAGGAGUAAGGAUGCAUGGAGGGGUCGUGAGGGGAAGAGAGCAAAACAGAGGAAGAGGCGGAAGAGUACAAAGACAUAGAGCUGCCCCAGAUAAAAUGUGGGCCACAACUGUGGACCAUGUAAUUAACAGGGGCCUUACAAUGGCAGAGGCUGGUCGCCAAGAGAAGCCUAAUGUAAACCAGUCUACAGUGUCUUCAAUUAUCCAAACAUUCUGCAGGAAAAACAGACAACUACCUUAUGCCAAGAGCAGUUUUUCCACCUCAGCAAGAGAUCUGCAGCAUGGUGACAGCAAAUAAUGCUAUUAGAUUGAGAGAGAUCCAGAGUGCAAUUUUAAAGGACGAUGGAGUCUUUCAAAAUAUCAACUCUGUCAGCAUCUCUACAGUAGACAGACUACAAAAGACAUCAGAUGACCAUGAAACAACUCUACAGGGUACCAUUUAAGAGAAACUGUGAAAGAGUGGAGGAUCAGUGGUACCAGAAUGUAUAGAGAAUAAUGGAACUGGAAGGAAGUGAAAUUCCUUUCAAUCUGGCUAAAGGCAGGAGAUGUGGCUGAAACAUUAUAGGCCACCGAACCACGGUGGAUGUGCCAACGUGGAGGCAAUAUAAUAAUGUGUGCUGCAAUAUCUGAGAAUGAUGUAAGUACACAUAUUCCCAUUACUGGCCCAUACAACGCCCAGCAUCUCCUGAUGUUCUUGGGCACCCUCUACAGAGAUCUUAUCCCUGAGAGUGAGAGAGGUUUGAUAAGACAUAUUGCCAAAUUUUGUAACUGUGUGGGAUAAUGUAAGCCACUGUGCAAAUGUCAUCAGGGAAUGGUUUGCUGUCUAUCAACGGAUGCUGAUGGAGUUCAUUCCACCAUAUUCUCCAUUUCUGAAUCCAAAUGAGGUAUUCCUUUCUGCACGGAAUUGGGAAGUAUAUGAUCAUCCACCUCAAGAUCAAAUUUCUCUGCUUGCUGCAAUGGAUGCUGCUUGUGAUGACAUCACAGCAGAAGGGGAUGGUUGUGGCAUGCAAGAAGAUUUUUCCCCCUGUGCAUCACUAGUGAAAAUAUCAGGUAGAGUGGCAGUUCUCAAUCAUGAAGAGAAUCCAGGGAGACUGGUGCUUAAGCCUGCAUACAUCCACCAUUGAAGAUCUCCCCCUCAUCAAGUCACAGGGUUGUGCUCCUGCAGAUUGACCAUAUGGUCCAAGGAACCCCAAAACAUACACUGCAACUCCCCCUGACUCCCCAUCCUCAUCUUCAAACAGUUCAAUGACUCUGAUUAAUCCAAAGCUGAGCAUGAAUGAACUUUUGAUUUAGGAAGUUGUGUAAAUAUUGGUAAUUUGUAAAUACCAAUAAAUUAUUUUGUGAAAUAAACUGAUUUUUUAUUCAUGUAUUUCACUGAUAGUUAUACUAUGUAUUAGAAAUAAAACCCUCCUUAAUUUGAUGGCCUUGCUGCCCUGGCAUUUGGCCUUUGUGCCCUCAAAAAAUUGACUACACCAAAGGCCACGUGGCCUUGCCCCUAAAAUGUUGAAAUUCCAGCCCUCAUCUUACAUUAACACACAAUUUUGUGCCAAAGUUAUCAACUUAUAGGGCAAUAAUAUGACAGUGAUUUGUUAAGAGCUUGUUUUCCGCUGCUCCCA